GAUAAUUGCCAACCCAAAUUAACGAAUCUUUCGUUGAUAAUCUAUAAGCUUUCUUCGCAUCUCCUUUGAUUAUUUUUUCAAUUGCGGACUUUUUCUCUCCAGUCAAAUAUUUGGUGAAAUAUUCCAUAAGUUGGCCUUACCAUUCUGCAUUUGCAUGAUUUCCGUCGGAGAGGUUAUUAAAGUUAAUUAAACCGAGAACAUCAUCUUCAUCAGAAUCUUCCUCAUCACUAUCAUCAUCUUCCUCUUGAUUGAUCUGUCUAAUUAUGGCUCCGAUCUCUUUCUGAUUUAACAAACUUAUUCAAAUUGAUGUCCUUAAGAAACAAUUGUGUCAACAUUCUUUUGAUACCAUUUAGAUUUUGUUCCAAAAUAGGACAAGAUUCAAAAUCGACAUUAAUUUCCUGUUACGACUAUGCCUGUUAAUAGAUGAGUUUGAAUUUCUCAUAGCGAAAUAUCAUUUAAAUCACUAUUACUUAAGUUUUCGCAGAUUACGUGAAAAUUUUGAUGAAUUUCGUGACUGCGAAAAUAACAUUAACUUAGCCAAUUAAUCUUUAAGACAUUAAUUGUAAAUGAUCACUAUAUAUGUUGUAAAUGGUGGUCAUGUAGUUUAAAACCUUUAAUCAUAAUUGUAACUCCAUCAUCAUCUGCUGAAUCAUCAUCUAGACAGACAAAAGAGGGACCUUUUGAGCCUGAGGAGGGGGAAAAUGCUAAAAAUAAGAGAGUUGGUAAGUUAAUCUUGCCAACUCUCAAAUCAAGGCUAAGGUUUAUUUUAAACUUAGUUUAGAAUGUAGCCUUAUAAGGCUACCAACAGGAUGUUGGUGAUGAUGAUGAAGAUGGAGAUGAAUAUAUAUAUAUAAUGUAAAAUCUAAUCUAGAGUUAGUCUUAGUUUAGUAUACUUAAUUUUACGGUUUCAUCUAUUUAGUUGAUUCAACACACAACUUAUGUUCGUUAAUUAAGUUAAUUAAUAAAUAAAGAGUUUCUUUUAUACAUACGUUAAGUUUAAUGUAACCUGUGUUGAAAACGUUACAUGGCGAUCUUGCUAGGAUCGCAAGUUUCAGCGAUCUUACUUGGUUAUUUUUCUUAUGUUUUAACUGUUUCUUUUAAUUAAUUAUUACAACUUUGUUUUGUUUAUUUCGUGAAAAAUUGUGUAUCAAUGUUUAUUUGUUCACCCUACAAUCGUCAUCGUAAAUCUUCAAAAUCGAAAUCAACUAUUCAAUUAGGAACAAACUGAAUCUUUGGAACAAACUUAAAAAAAGAAUGGAAGAUCAAUAUAGAUCCAGUCUAGCUAAUUGGAGGCAUGUAAAAGAAUAUGCCGAAGAAAAAAUUAGAUUUUAUAAUGAACAAAUCUUAGAUGAAGAAUUCCCACUCCCGAGGCGUGUACGCUAUCGCUACAUGCUAUAUCUCAGCGUCCUGGAACUAAUGUUGGAAGCUGCUAUCACCUAUAGAAAAUUAUAUUUCAACAAAUUACACGGACAUAGUAAAACCAGGAGAUUCCAAGCCCUGGUUGGAGAUACGUUGUCGCCUUGGAAAAAAUUGCAAGAUACAUCGAAUGCAAUAAUCUAACUUUCUUUUAUGCCAUAAUACGAAAAGAAUACAUAGAAGAAUUUAAAAACUUUGUUCGAUUUUAGUUAAUUAAAACUUUAGAAUAAUUAAUUGAAAUGGUUCCAUAUAUGUUCUAAAUGGAGACCAUUUAGUUGAAAAAUGUGUAAUUCAAAUUGUAACCUUAACUUGAAAAUUAAUCAUUUAAUUUAAUCUACCUAAUUAAUCUAAUUAUUUAAUUCAUCUAUUCCUUAUUAUAUAUUUCAGAAAUGGAAAACCAAUUGCACAAUUGGAAAUUCAUGCAGACCAACGCACGCCAUAAAAUUAAAGAUAUUGAUUUUCUUCUGGAAACAGGCAACUUCAUCCCCACAAGGAGAAUAGUUCGCAGAUACUUAAUAGAAAAGCGACUAUGCGAAAAAAUGUUAUACAUGGUAGCUGUUCAUCACUGGUAUCAUCAAGCCAGAUCCUUGAACUACAGAAGAAGAACUCAGAAAUUGAGAAUUAGACUAUGCCUGUUAAUAGAUGAGUUUGAAUUUCUCAUAGCGAAAUAUCAUUUAAAUCACUAUUACUUAAGUUUUCGCAGAUUACGUGAAAAUUUUGAUGAAUUUCGUGACUGCGAAAAUAACAUUAACUUAGCCAAUUAAUCUUUAAGACAUUAAUUGUAAAUGAUCACUAUAUAUGUUGUAAAUGGUGGUCAUGUAGUUUAAAACCUUUAAUCAUAAUUGUAACUCCAUCAUCAUCUGCUGAAUCAUCAUCUAGACAGACAAAAGAGGGACCUUUUGAGCCUGAGGAGGGGGAAAAUGCUAAAAAUAAGAGAGUUGGUAAGUUAAUCUUGCCAACUCUCAAAUCAAGGCUAAGGUUUAUUUUAAACUUAGUUUAGAAUGUAGCCUUAUAAGGCUACCAACAGGAUGUUGGUGAUGAUGAUGAAGAUGGAGAUGAAUAUAUAUAUAUAAUGUAAAAUCUAAUCUAGAGUUAGUCUUAGUUUAGUAUACUUAAUUUUACGGUUUCAUCUAUUUAGUUGAUUCAACACACAACUUAUGUUCGUUAAUUAAGUUAAUUAAUAAAUAAAGAGUUUCUUUUAUA